UAAAAAUGUCGAGGGACUAAUAAUGCAAACAGGGAAGUCUUCUGAGGCAAAUUUGAUCUUCUGUAAACUUGGAAGAGUCUAGGGUUUUUGCUGGGCCGAAACUGGUGUCGAUCGAAACUGGUGUCGAUCGACACUCCUCGCUGAUUCAUGAGUCCAAAAUCGUUCUUAGCUUCCUUUUUCCUUAGAUCUUGCUCCAAAAUGUCUCCUUAUCUCCAUUGUUGUCCCGUUGCAUAGAAUACCUGAAAAGACACUCAAAAGACUCGAGAAAUAACAUAAAGACUUAAGAUCCUAUACCUAAAACAUAGAUAAAAUUGGUGAAAAUCGGGUUAUAUCAGAAGUACUCUCACU
rnacentral:sRNA from 1 species